rnacentral:lncRNA from 1 species
GAAGGGGGAGUUGUCUUUCAAUUUCGGAUUCACCAGGAUUCAUCUCUCAUCACAUUUUUCUUCUCAAAUUUUUAAAUCGAAAAGAUAAAAGCCAAAAGGACUUUCAUCCCCAGAACUUUUUCUUGGGGGAAAGGAAUGCAACUCGGGGUGGUUGUCCUUCACUUCCCUACCCGAAUCUUCUCCUAAUGCCGAAAUGUGUUUACAGGUAGCCUCAGUUUACCAAGUAUGUAUCUUUUGGGGUGUUUACGUCUCACAAAGCCUUCAACUCAUAAACCGCGAUCCUUGAAAACCAUCCUCCAAAGAAGUGCUUAGGAGGCUUCUGAGGCCCCCGGACCAACUCCCGCUGGAAAAAGCCUGCAGGGACCCGGGAAUCACGGGAUCCUUUCCCGUCGGUUCCGGGCCGGGAGGGCCAGGAAGAGCCGCGCGUCCGCCUUUCGUCCCGCCAGGAACUCCCCAUAGGACACGACACCGCAGGAACGCGCGUCCUGGGAGCCCCUGGGAUCCUGGCGGUCGUCUCUACGGACGCUACACCAUGAAACGAUAGAGGGGAGGCUCCUUGGGUUCCGCAAGUCGACGAAAAUAGCUCGUGGAGAAGGCGCCUCCUGCAACUGCAGUUCGCAAGCUCUCGGGGCGCCCCGCCAGCUGGGGGCCAGAUUGAGUGACACUCCCCUCGACGCAGCCUCCGGAGCGGCGCGCACUCUCCAGAGGCCAGCAAGACUGCGCUCUCUACCGCAGAACCAGCUCCAGCUAGGUGUUCUCUCCCCAUCUCGCCGUCGCUCUGCCCCCUCACUCUCUCCGGACCUCAGAGACGGUCUCUCCUUCCUCCUCCCGCCCUUUCCGUCUGGGGAUCGCAACCUCCAGCCCGUGGGCAACGCGUUCAGCCCAAGACUCCACAGUUUUUCCCAACGACCCCCUACCGAGGGCUUCUCUUGCUUCUGCUCUCCUGCCCCGCACUUCCCAAAGUGUGCGGGAACAGUGUGACCUAAACAAGAACAUACUAUAACUGUAGGAUGAGUGACACUUGGAAGCAGAGGCAGAGUGCUACAUGGACACCUGACUGUACCAAAUGGUUAUUGUGGUUUCCCAAUCAGGUGCCAAUUGCGGAAUACCAGCUAAUAUUCUACCCUGAAUUCAUGCUAAAAGCUUUCCAGUCUUUCUCAAGGAAACCUGUCCAAAGGGAUAUGUGAUUCAAGGAAUUGUUACUGUAUAAGUAAAACUUGGAUGUUUUUACUAAUAAUCCACAUAUUUCACAGCCCUUUGGUGGAGAGCCUUUUUCAUUAAUGUUCUGUUCAAGAAUAAUUGCA